GUAUAACAUAGGAACCAUCCCCAGUCGGACCUAGCCCCACUUUACCUAUCGCACGUGCCUGGUCGAAGACUGGAAGACAGUGAAACUGGUCUGAAAAAAACUGAAAAGCCACUGAGGUCCUUCCACAGGCGCACGCACACAGGCGCAAGCAACAGGACUUGUUUAUCGGCAGCCCCUUGGUCGGGCCGCACUCCAAACUGGCCCAUCAAUUUUGGUUCUCCUACCCGCCACCGGGCGCUGGCGGCGGUUCCUCAAGAAUAAUAAAACUAAGGAAUCAAGCCUAACAAAUACGAAAUAAAAACUAAAAAGAGAAAACAAAAUCAAGAAUAUAUAGAAUUAAAUCGUAAACUGAAACUAAAUCGGAGAUUGAGAGAUUCUUCGUGUGCGAUCGCUACCUAUCUCUCUCCCUCUCAGUCUCUUCUCUCUCUCUCUCUCACGCUCUCUCUCUCUCUCUAUCUGCCUAUAUGUCUAUCUCUUUCUCAAAAGACACACUCAGACACACCGCACCCACGUAACGGUACUAAUUCCAUUCCAAUCGUUCCGGUUCGCGUCGCGAUCGCGAUCGCGUGUUAACAAUUGCAAAAAUUCGACAAAAAUCGUUACUAAAAUAUAAUCAAAAUCAAAAUCGACACAACAACAACAAAAACAUCAUCACCACAAGUACAACAACAUCAGAAAAAUAAAAACAACACAUUGAGACAGCAAGAACUCGCAGACCGACGAAGAGAAGCAGCGCGAUCGACAGCGAAACGAGCGAGAGGCCAAAAAGGAAGAGCAGGACGCCAUCAACUACAAGGUGAGUGUGUGGGUGUGUGUGCCUCUCUCUCUCUGUCUGCCUUCUCCCUAUCUCUUUCUGUCGCGGCCAAUUCGGUGUGUGCGUGUGUUGUGUAUGUGUGUCUACCGCGCGUGCAAUUCAAAUUGACUACAAAAAAAAUUCCAAAAAUAAAAAUAAUUCCUACAAAAAAAAUAUAUAAGAAAAAAUUAUGAAAAAAAUUAUACAAAAAUA